UACGGAGGGUGCAAGCGUUAUCCGGAUUCACUGGGUUUAAAGGGUGCGUAGGAGGGCAGGUAAGUCAGUGGUGGAAUCCCCGAGCUUAACUUGGGAACUGCCGUUGAUACUAUCUGUCUUGAAUACCGUGGAGGUGAGCGGAAUAUGUCAUGUAGCGGUGAAAUGCUUAGAUAUGACAUAGAACACCAAUUGCGAAGGCAGCCCGCUACACGAAUAUUGACUCUGAGGCACGAAAGCGUGGGGAUCAAACAGG
rnacentral:rRNA from 1 species